rnacentral:rRNA from 1 species
CAAUAGCGUAUAUUAAAGUUGUUGCGGUUAAAAAGCUCGUAGUUGGAUUUCUGCCGAGGACGACCGGUCCGCCCUCCGGGUGAGUAUCUGGCUCGGCCUGGGCAUCUUCUUGGAGAACGUAGCUGCACUUGACUGUGUGGUGCGGUAUCCAGGACUUUUACUUUGAGGAAAUUAGAGUGUUUCAAGCAGGCUUACGCCUUGAAUACAUUAGCAUGGAAUAAUAAGAUAGGACCUCGGUUCUAUUUUGUUGGUUUCUAGAGCUGAGGUAAUGAUUAAUAGGGAUAGUUGGGGGCAUUCGUAUUUAACUGUCAGAGGUGAAAUUCUUGGAUUUGUUAAAGACGGACUACUGCGAAANCANNNGCCAAGGAUGUUUUCAUNGA